GAUGAACGCUGGCGGCGUGCUUAACACAUGCAAGUCGAACGGAAAGGCUCCUGCUUGCAGGGGUACUCGAGUGGCGAACGGGCGAGUAACACGUGGGUGAUCUGCCCUGCACUUCGGGAUAAGCCUGGGAAACUGGGACUAAUACCGGAUAGGACCACAUUUUGGAUGGUGUGGUGGAAAGUUUUUCGGUGUGGGAUGAGCUCGCGGCCUAUCAGCUUGUUGGUGGGGUAAUGGCCUACCAAGGCGUCGACGGGUAGCCGGCCUGAGAGGGUGUACGGCCACAUUGGGACUGAGAUACGGCCCAGACUCCUACGGGAGGCAGCAGUGGGGAAUAUUGCACAAUGGGCGCAAGCCUGAUGCAGCGACGCCGCGUGGGGGAUGACGGCCUUCGGGUUGUAAACUCCUUUCGCUAGGGACGAAGUGCAAGUGACGGUACCUGGAGAAGAAGCACCGGCUAACUACGUG
rnacentral:rRNA from 1 species